rnacentral:piRNA from 1 species
UGAAAGGGUCAUUCGAAGACUUAGAGAGU